rnacentral:rRNA from 1 species
AUGAACGCUGGCGGCGUGCCUAAUCCAUGCAAGUUGAGCGAACGGACGAGAAGCUUGCUUCUCUGAUGUUAGCGGCGGACGGGUGAGUAACACGUGGAUAACCUACCUAUAAGACUGGGAUAACUUCGGGAAACCGGAGCUAAUACCGGAUAAUAUUUUGAACCGCAUGGUUCAAAAGUGAAAGACGGUCUUGCUGUCACUUAUAGAUGGAUCCGCGCUGCAUUAGCUAGUUGGUAAGGUAACGGCUUACCAAGGCAACGAUGCAUAGCCGACCUGAGAGGGUGAUCGGCCACACUGGAACUGAGACACGGUCCAGACUCCUACGGGAGGCAGCAGUAGGGAAUCUUCCGCAAUGGGCGAAAGCCUGACGGAGCAACGCCGCGUGAGUGAUGAAGGUCUUCGGAUCGUAAAACUCUGUUAUUAGGGAAGAACAUAUGUGUAAGUAACUGUGCACAUCUUGACGGUACCUAAUCAGAAAGCCACGGCUAACUACGUG